GCCUGGCGGGGGCUACUGUCAAAUAACACCACCCGGGUCACCACUGCCUUGUGAAGCCAAAAUUCCUUGCUGAAUUCAGGGAGGGUGGAGGACUGAGAUCAUCAAACCCCGUGACGGAUAUGGCACUCACUGCUAGAGAGAUAAUAACAGCCUUUUCUCCGAUUGCUCCAGCCAUAUCAACAUAUGUGCCUGCAUCUCCCUUACAUCACCC